ACGCACGCUGGCGGCGUGCUUCACCCCUGCCAGUCGCACGGAAAGGCCCUGCUUUUGUGGGGUGCUCGAGUGGCGAACGGGUGAGUAACACGUGAGUAACCUGCCCUUGACUUUGGGAUAACUUCAGGAAACUGGGGCUAAUACCGGAUAGGAGCUCCUGCUGCAUGGUGGGGGUUGGAAAGUUUCGGCGGUUGGGGAUGGACUCGCGGCUUAUCAGCUUGUUGGUGGGGUAGUGGCUUACCAAGGCUUUGACGGGUAGCCGGCCUGAGAGGGUGACCGGCCACAUUGGGACUGAGAUACGGCCCAGACUCCUACGGGAGGCAGCAGUGGGGAAUAUUGCACAAUGGGCGGAAGCCUGAUGCAGCAGCGCCGCGUGCGGGAUGACGGCCUUCGGGUUGUAAACCGCUUUCGCCUGUGACGAAGCGUGAGUGACGGUAAUGGGUAAAGAAGCACCGGCUAACUACGUG
rnacentral:rRNA from 1 species